AAUUCCUGUUCAUGCGCAUGUGAAAUUAGUCUCUAGAAAUCGCAAAUAUCGUAUUUAAACUUCGCGCGUUUUUCUUGCUGUAAUCUAUAACCAACGUGACGCCGAUGACGUCGUUCCGGAGUCCAGAGUUUAUAGCGAAACACUACCGUAAACGCGUGGGGCAUGCAGCUGGAUCCUGUAUCAUGAUUUAAUUGUGAGUGCUGAGAAGGAGCGACGCAAUGGUGAAAUUAGAGCGAAAGAGGAGGUCGAGACGUCGAUGGAACAAUAAGCAGAUCAAUAUAACACGAUCUUAUUGACAAUUUGAGAGGUGAAGCAGAUCUAAGAAAGACAUCGAGCACUGACGAAAUAAUUAACCAUAGGAUCAACACAACUGACAAUCUUGACAAUUAAUUUAAGAAGAGAUAAGGUUUGAAAGAGACAUUGAGACAUCAGUAGAACAACUAUGGAAUCAACGUAACGAUCUUGGCAAUCUGAGAGGAGAAGAUCUGGAAGAGACAUCAGGCACUAGUAGAGCAACUAUAUUUAUUAUUUGAUCAACACGUAUCCUUAACGCAGUUAACUGCACUGUUACGCAUCGAUAAGUGAGUGGUAAAUUUUAUUACAAAAGGUAACGGUUUUGUAGAGAUUAGAUUGUGUGGAAAAAUGUGUAGAUUUAGAUUGUAGAUUGUGUAGACUGUAGAGUUUGUAGAUAUUAGUUCCGUUACCUUAAAAUG